rnacentral:rRNA from 1 species
GAUGAACGCUGGCGGCGUGCCUAAUACAUGCAAGUCGGGCGAACGGACGAGAAGCUUGCUUCUCUGAUGUUAGCGGCGGACGGGUGAGUAACACGUGGAUAACCUACCUAUAAGACUGGGAUAACUUCGGGAAACCGGAGCUAAUACCGGAUAAUAUUUUGAACCGCAUGGUUCAAAAGUGAAAGACGGUCUUGCUGUCACUUAUAGAUGGAUCCGCGCUGCAUUAGCUAGUUGGUAAGGUAACGGCUUACCAAGGCAACGAUGCAUAGCCGACCUGAGAGGGUGAUCGGCCACACUGGAACUGAGACACGGUCCAGACUCCUACGGGAGGCAGCAGUAGGGAAUCUUCCGCAAUGGGCGAAAGCCUGACGGGGCAACGCCGCGUGAGUGAUGAAGGUCUUCGGAUCGUAAAACUCUGUUAUUAGGGAAGAACAUAUGUGUAAGUAACUGUGCACAUCUUGACGGUACCUAAUCAGAAAGCCACGGCUAACUACGUG